rnacentral:rRNA from 1 species
AUUGAACGCUGGCGGCAUGCCUUACACAUGCAAGUCGAACGGCAGCACGGGAGCAAUCCUGGUGGCGAGUGGCGAACGGGUGAGUAAAGUAUCGGAACGUGCCCAGUCGUGGGGGAUAACGUAGCGAAAGUUACGCUAAUACCGCAUACGAUCUACGGAUGAAAGCGGGGGAUCGCAAGACCUCGCGCGAUUGGAGCGGCUGAUAUCAGAUUAGGUAGUUGGUGGGGUAAAGGCUCACCAAGCCGACGAUCUGUAGCUGGUCUGAGAGGACGACCGGCCACACUGGGACUGAGACACGGCCCAGACUCCUACGUGAGGCAGCAGUGGGGAAUUUUGGACAAUGGGCGCAAGCCUGAUCCAGCCAUGCCGCGUGCAGGAUGAAGGCCUUCGGGUUGUAAACUGCUUUUGUACGGAACGAAAAGGUUUGGCCUAAUAAGCUGGACCCAUGACGGUACCGUAAGAAUAAGCACCGGCUAACUACGUGCCAGCCGCCGCAGUAA